CCAACUGUAUAUUUAAAGAGACUCAUCAGUUAGAGAGAGACUCAACUGCAUCCUAGGGAGCUGACCUAAGAAUCACUGUAGCCAUAUGCAGCACAGGAACCUGAAACUCUAGGCUCAGCUGCAGCCUUUUCAGUGAUGAAGUCAAUGCUUAAGUCUAGACUAGUAAUGAAUAAGGUAGCUGUAAGUAAGAAUAGUUCAUCACCCACUGCUGGGUUUGCAUCCUCCUCCAAAUAGGCCCUCCUUAUUUGCUUCCUGUGGCUGCUGUAGCAAAUUAUCACAAACUGGGAGGCUUAAAACAACAGAAAUUUAUUCCCUCCCA
rnacentral:lncRNA from 10 species